AUUGAACGCUGGCGGCAGGCCUAACACAUGCAAGUCGAGCGGAUGAAGGGAGCUUGCUCCUGGAUUCAGCGGCGGACGGGUGAGUAAUGCCUAGGAAUCUGCCUGGUAGUGGGGGAUAACGUCCGGAAACGGGCGCUAAUACCGCGUACGUCCUGAGGGAGAAAGUGGGGGAUCUUCGGACCUCACGCUAUCAGAUGAGCCUAGGUCGGAUUAGCUAGUUGGUGGGGUAAAGGCCUACCAAGGCGACGAUCCGUAACUGGUCUGAGAGGAUGAUCAGUCACACUGGAACUGAGACACGGUCCAGGCUCCUACGGGAGGCAGCAGUGGGGAAUAUUGGACAAUGGGCGAAAGCCUGAUCCAGCCAUGCCGCGUGUGUGAAGAAGGUCUUCGGAUUGUAAAGCACUUUAAGUUGGGAGGAAGGGCAGUAAGUUAAUACCUUGCUGUUUUGACGUUACCAACAGAAUAAGCACCGGCUAACUUCGUG
rnacentral:rRNA from 1 species